CGUCUAUAUACGUAUAGCAUAUCAAUAAGCGGAGGAAAAGAAACUAACUAGGAUUCCCUCAGUAACGGCGAGUGAAGCGGGAAGAGCUCAAAUUUGAAAUCUUCAAGGUUUUACCUUGACGAAUUGUAGUUUAAAGAAGUGUUUUCUGUUGGAGUUUCGGUAAAAGUUCUUUGGAAUAGGACAUCAUAGAGGGUGAGAAUCCCGUAUUUGACCAUUACUUCCAGCUUUGUGAUACACUUUCAAAGAGUCGGAUUGUUUGGGAAUGCAGUCCAAAAUGGGUGGUAAAUUUCAUCUAAAGCUAAAUACUGGCGAGAGACCGAUAGCGAACAAGUACCGUGAGGAGAAGAUGAAAAGAACUUUGAAAAGAGAGUUAAACAGUACGUGAAAUUGUCAAAAGGGAAGCGUUUGACACCAGUGUUGUUUUCUCGAAAAUCAAUUAAAAAAGGCCGGAUUUUGUGUUGUAUUGACUUUAUCAGCUUUCUGCACUUUUUUCUAGUCUUUCUUAAUGCACUUUUCGUUUAACAAGUCAACAUCAAUUUCUUUUGUUGUAAAAGGGUCAUUGGAAGGUGGCUUUCUCUUCGGAGAAAGUGUUUAUAGCCUUUGAUCUCUGCAAUCGGAGAGACUGAGGUCUGCAGCGUAGAUCCUUCGGGGUUAGAUACAUUUGUGCUAAGCUACAGCUUUUCAUAGACAACUUGUUGACUAUGUUUAGUCUUGUGACUUACCCGCUUAUGCUAUUUUACCUACGCUUAGGAUGUUGACUGAUAUGUAGUCGU
rnacentral:rRNA from 1 species